rnacentral:rRNA from 1 species
UGCCAGCCGCCGCGGUAACACGGGGGGCGCAAGCGUUAUUCGGAAUUAUUGGGCGUAAAGCGCGUGUAGGCGGUCUGGAAAGUCGGUCGUGAAAGCCCUCGGCUCAACCGAGGAAGUGCAGUCGAAACUAUCAGACUUGAAUAUCGAAGAGGGUGGCGGAAUGCGCAGUGUAGAGGUGAAAUUCGUAGAUAUUGCGUAGAACACCAGUGGCGAAGGCGGCCACCUGGGAGAAUAUUGACGCUGAGACGCGAAAGCGUGGGGAGCAAACAGGAUUAGAUA